UACGUAGGGUGCAAGCGUUGUCCGGAAUUAUUGGGCGUAAGCGCGUGCAGGCGGCUUGGUAAGUCGGGUGUGAAAUCCCGGGGCUCAACCCCGGAACUGCACCCGAUACUGCCUCGCUCGAGUCCGGAGAGGAUGGCGGAAUUUCCGGUGUAGAGGUGAAAUUCGUAGAUAUCGGAAGGAACACCAGCGGCGAAGGCGGCCAUCUGGACGGUGACUGACGCUCAGACGCGAAAGCGUGGGGAGCAAACAGG
rnacentral:rRNA from 1 species